rnacentral:rRNA from 1 species
GAUGAACGCUGGCGGCGUGCCUAUUACAUGCAAGUCGAGCGAAUGGAUUAAGAGCUUGCUCUUAUGAAGUUAGCGGCGGACGGGUGAGUAACACGUGGGAACCUGCCCAUAAGACUGGGAUAACUCCGGGAAACCGGGGCUAAUACCGGAUAACAUUUUGAACCGCAUGGUUCGAAAUUGAAAGGCGGCUUCGGCUGUCACUUAUGGAUGGACCCGCGUCGCAUUAGCUAGUUGGUGGGGUAACGGCUCACCAAGGCAACGAUGCGUAGCCGACCUGAGAGGGUGAUCGGCCACACUGGGACUGAGCAACGGCCCAGACUCCUACGGGAGGCAGCAGUAGGGAAUCUUCCGCAAUGGACGAAAGUCUGCAGGAGCAACGCCGCGUGAGUGAUGAAGGCUUUCGGGUCGUAAAACUCUGUUGUUAGGGAAGAACAAGUGCUAGUUGAAUAAGCUGGCACCUUGACGGUACCUAACCAGAAAGCCACGGCUAACUACGUGCCAGCAGCCGCCGUAA